AUGAUGAACUAUGCCUGAAUAGGGCGAAGCCAAAGGAAACUCUGUGUGGAGGCUCGUAGCAAUUCUGGCGUGCAAAUCGAUCGAGAAAGAAUCAGAUUUCAAUCAU
rnacentral:ncRNA from 1 species